GGAUGAGCCCGCGGCCUAUCAGCUUGUUGGUAGGGUAAUGGCCUACCAAGGCUAAGACGGGUAGCUGGUCUGAGAGGACGACCAGCCACACUGGGACUGAGACACGGCCCAGACUCCUACGGGAGGCAGCAGUGGGGAAUUUUGCGCAAUGGGGGAAACCCUGACGCAGCGACGCCGCGUGAGUGAUGAAGGCCUUCGGGUUGUAAAGCUCUGUCAGGUGGGAAGAAAUUCCCUGUGGCUAAUAUCCAGAGGGAUUGACGGUACCAUCAGAGGAAGCACCGGCUAACUACGUGCCAGCAGCCGCGGCCG
rnacentral:rRNA from 1 species